rnacentral:lncRNA from 1 species
AUAUACGUGAGUGUGUGUGUGUGUGUGUUUGUGCUAUUUUUCAAGGGAUUAAAUUUAAAUUAGAAAAGGACACAAUGUUGUUUUUCUUUGUAAACAACACUGUUAUGCAGUUGGGAAACUCACCGCACCAGUCUAGUUGUAAUGGUCGGAGAGACAUGUAACCCAUCAUUUUGCAAAUUGUACUCCAUCAACGGUAGAAGGAGUACUUUUGCCAUAACUCUGGACCUGCAAUUGCUUCAAUGUUGGUCCUCUCACUGGUCUAAUGCACCUAUAACAGGAUUAAUAACACCAUGUCAUCUGUACUUCCCUACCGAAAUCCCCGUAUUCUUGAUCGCUAACCUGUCAUGUAGGAGGUUUGAGAAAUACCGGCUAGUUCAGAGUCCAAUCGAUUUUGUUGCUUGAUAUGACCCCAGAAAUUCAAUUUUUAUCAUUUUGGUACCGCUAUAAAUUUACGUGUAACCUUUUUUAAUGCCCCCUCUUUUUUUUUAAUCCGUU